rnacentral:rRNA from 1 species
CUUGGCGGCCAUAGCGCAGCGGACCCACCUGAAUCCAUGCCGAACUCAGAAGUGAAACGUUGUAGCGCCGAUGGUAGUGUGGGGUCUCCC